rnacentral:tRNA from 1 species
GGAUAGCUCAGUUGGUUAGAGUGUGGUGCUGAUAAUCCCAAGGUCACAGGUUUGACCCCCGUAUGGGCCA